rnacentral:rRNA from 1 species
GACGAACGCUGGCGGCGUGCUUAACACAUGCAAGUCGAACGGUAAGGCCCUUCGGGGUACACGAGUGGCGAACGGGUGAGUAACACGUGGGUGAUCUGCCCUGCACUUCGGGAGAAGCCUGGGAAACUGGGUCUAAUACCGGAUAGGACCCUGGGAUGCAGGUCGCGGGGUGGCAAGCUUUUGCGGUGUGGGAUGGGCCCGCGGCCUAUCAGCUUGUUGGUGGGGUGAUGGCCUACCAAGGCGCAGGCGGGUAGCCGGCCUGAGAGGGUGACCGGGCACACUGGGACUGAGAUACGGCCCAGACUCCUACGGGAGGCAGCAGUGGGGAAUAUUGCACAAUGGGCGCAAGCCUGAUGCAGCGACGCCGCGUGAGGGAUGACGGCCUUCGGGUUGUAAACCUCUUUCAGCACCGACGAAGCGCAAGUGACGGUAGGUGCAGAAGAAGGACCGGCCAACUACGUGCCAGCCGCCGCAGUAA